CCUACGGGAGGCAGCAGUGGGGAAUAUUGCACAAUGGGCGAAAGCCUGAUGCAGCGACGCCGCGUGAGGGAUGACGGCCUUCGGGUUGUAAACCUCUUUCAGCAGGGAAGAAGCGCAAGUGACGGUACCUGCAGAAGAAGCACCGGCCAACUACGUGCCAGCAGCCGCGGUAAU
rnacentral:rRNA from 1 species